rnacentral:rRNA from 1 species
AGAGUUUGAUCCUGGCUCAGAACGAACGCUGGCGGCAUGCCUAACACAUGCAAGUCGAACGAACCCUUCGGGGUUAGUGGCGCACGGGUGCGUAACGCGUGGGAACCUGCCUUUAGGUUCGGAAUAACUCAGAGAAAUUUGAGCUAAUACCGGAUAAUGUCUUCGGACCAAAGAUUUAUCGCCUUUAGAUGGGCCCGCGUUAGAUUAGAUAGUUGGUGGGGUAAUGGCCUACCAAGUCGACGAUCUAUAGCUGGUCUGAGAGGAUGAUCAGCCACACUGGGACUGAGACACGGCCCAGACUCCUACGGGAGGCAGCAGUGGGGAAUAUUGGACAAUGGGCGAAAGCCUGAUCCAGCAAUGCCGCGUGAGUGAUGAAGGCCUUAGGGUUGUAAAGCUCUUUUACCCGGGAUGAUAAUGACAGUACCGGGAGAAUAAGCUCCGGCUAACUCCGUGCCAGCAGCCGCGGUAAUACGGAGGGAGCUAGCGUUGUUCGGAAUUACUGGGCGUAAAGCGCGCGUAGGCGGCCAUUUAAGUCAGGGGUGAAAUCCCGGGGCUCAACCCCGGAACUGCCUUUGAAACUGGAUGGCUAGAAUCCUGGAGAGGCGAGUGGAAUUCCGAGUGUAGAGGUGAAAUU